rnacentral:rRNA from 1 species
UACGUAGGGUGCGAGCGUUGUCCGGAAUUAUUGGGCGUGAAGAGCUCGUAGGCGGUUUGUCACGUCGGAUGUGAAAUCCCGGGGCUCAACUCCGGGUCUGCAUUCGAUACGGGCUGACUAGAGUUCGAUAGGGGAGACUGGAAUUCCUGGUGUAGCGGUGAAAUGUGCAGAUAUCAGGAGGAACACCGGUGGCGAAGGCGGGUCUCUGGGCCGAUACUGACGCUGAGGAGCGAAAGCGUGGGGAGCGAACAG